UACGUAGGGUGCGAGCGUUGUCCGGAAUUAUUGGGCGUAAAGAGCUCGUAGGCGGUGUGUCACGUCGUUCGUGAAAACCUGCAGCUUAACUGUGGGCGUGCGGUCGAUACGGGCAUCACUGGAGUUCGGCAGGGGAGACUGGAAUUCCUGGUGUAGCGGUGAAAUGCGCAGAUAUCAGGAGGAACACCGGUGGCGAAGGCGGAUCUCUGGGCCAGUACUGACACUGGAGGAGCGAAAGCGUGGGUAGCAAACAGG
rnacentral:rRNA from 1 species